rnacentral:tRNA from 1 species
CGGAAGGCUUCAAGUUCUCGGCCGGCGCCCCGAGGGCGUCCCCGACGGCCAGACCGAGCAGCGCGCCCCGGGC